UUGGUUUCCUACUUCUCCUUCUUCACCGUUCCUAAACAUAUAUUAUCAUCAUUCCA
rnacentral:sRNA from 1 species